rnacentral:rRNA from 1 species
AUUGAACGCUGGCGGCAGGCCUAACACAUGCAAGUCGAGCGGAUGAAGGGAGCUUGCUCCUGGAUUCAGCGGCGGACGGGUGAGUAAUGCCUAGGAAUCUGCCUGGUCGUGGGGGAUAACGUCCGGAAACGGGCGCUAAUACCGCAUACGUCCUGAGGGAGAAAGUGGGGGAUCUUCGGACCUCACGCUAUCAGAUGAGCCUAGGUCGGAUUAGCUAGUUGGUGGGGUAAAGGCCUACCAAGGCGACGAUCCGUAACUGGUCUGAGAGGAUGAUCAGUCACACUGGAACUGAGACACGGUCCAGACUCCUACGGGAGGCAGCAGUGGGGAAUAUUGGACAAUGGGCGAAAGCCUGAUCCAGCCAUGCCGCGUGUGUGAAGGAGGUCUUCGGAUUGUAAAGCACUUUAAGUUGGGAGGAAGGGCAGUAAGUUAAUACCUUGCUGUUUUGACGUUACCAACAGAAUAAGCACCGGCUAACUUCGUG